GACGAACGCUGGCGGCGUGCUUAACACAUGCAAGUCGAACGGAAAGGCCCUGCUUUUGUGGGGUGCUCGAGUGGCGAACGGGUGAGUAACACGUGAGUAACCUGCCCUUGACUUUGGGAUAACUUCAGGAAACUGGGGCUAAUACCGGAUAGGAGCUCCUGCUGCAUGGUGGGGGUUGGAAAGUUUCGGCGGUUGGGGAUGGACUCGCGGCUUAUCAGCUUGGUGGUGGGGUAGUGGCUUACCAAGGCUUUGACGGGUAGCCGGCCUGAGAGGGUGACCGGCCCCAUUGGGACUGAGAUACGGCCCAGACUCCUACGGGAGGCAGCAGUGGGGAAUAUUGCACAAUGGGCGGAAGCCUGAUGCAGCAACGCCGCGUGCGGGAUGACGGCCUUCGGGUUGUAAACCGCUUUCGCCUGUGACGAAGCGUGAGUGACGGUAAUGGGUAAAGAAGCACCGGCUAACUACGUG
rnacentral:rRNA from 1 species